UUUAAAUCUUACCCCACAGUGGGAGGCAUAGCUCUGUACCUGUCCCUCCUCCCACUCUGGAGCCACCUACACAGAUUCCUGAGAAACAUCUUCCUGGUCACAUGUGUGCUGAUCGCCUGCUCUGCUCUGUUCCCUGUGCUGUGGCAUCUGUGGAUCUACUCUGGCAGUGCCAACUCCAACUUUUACUACGCCAUUACACUACUGUUCAAUGUGGCUCAGAUUCUCCUGGUGUCAGACUACUUCUACGCCUUCUUACGGAGAGAG